GUACGUACGUACGUACGAGAGGAACCCGUGAGCCGAAAUGAGCCAUUUCAGGUCGGUUUCCUGGCUCCACAGGCAAACGCCGAUUCCCCAUUCUUCCCUCCCUCCCUCUAUCCUCCUUCACUGGCACACGCCACAUUCCCCAUCCACAGCCGGCGAUCUGUGGUGGCCGCCCCUCCCCUUCGUCACCACUGCCAGCCGCUGCGGAGGCCCUGAUGCGCCCCGCCCUUUCCCUUCGUCACCACUGCCGGCCGCCGCGGAGGCCCUGAUGCGCCUCGCCCUUUCCCUUCGUCAGCACCGCCGGCGGCCGCGGAGGCCCGCGAUGUGCCCCGCCCCUCCCCUUUAUCACCGCUGCCGGCGGGCGCGGAGGCCCGCGAUGUGCCCCACCCCUCCCCUUCGUCACCGCUGCCGGCGGGCGUGGAGGCCCGCGAUGUGCCCCGCCCCUCCCCUUCGUCACCGAUGCCGGCGGGCGCGCAGUUCCUUGAUCUGCCCCGCCCCUUCGUCACCACUGCCGGCGGGUGCGCAGGCCCUUGAACUGCCCCGCCCCUUCGUCACCACUGCCGGCGGGGCGCGCAGGCCCUUGAACUGCCCCGCCCCUUCGUCACCACUGCCGGCGGGGCGCGCAGGCCCUUGAUCUGCCCCGCCCCUUCUUCAUAUAAGGUCGCCGAUGUGGCCGAGGAGGCGCUCAAGCUCAUCAUGCGCGCCGGCGACGCCGGGGCCCUCCAUCCUCCUGACGCACUUGCCGUCGCCGACAUGAGCGUCUCCACCUUCUCCCGCGCGCCAUGAACUUCCCUUCCCCACUGCUCAGGACGCCAGCAAGGAGCAGGAGUUCCUUCCUUCCAUGGAUGACCACGAAGAGCUCUGCGUGCUGUGCUGCUGCUCGGGACCCUCCCUUCUCAUCGCUCGUCCGGGUCCAGAUACAGAAGGUUUAGUUCAGUGGCUGUGCUGGACAGGAGGGGCCAGGGAAUUGCUUUAAGUUGUUCCAAGAGAUGUGAGCCUGAUAAAACGAUGACAUAGCAGAUUUCCACUGUGGUCUCCUUGCAGGACCACUCUCAGUGGUUGGCCCUCCUGUUCACUUACACAAAAACAGAAGGCAGAAGAUGAUAUUGGCCCUGCUGUUGAGCCGCAAACAUAGAAUGUUGCUUUGGCAGGUCAAAGGAAGAAGCAGGUCGAAGGAAGAAGUUUAGACUAAAGACAUGGUCAAAGGAAGAAGCAGGUCAAAGGAAGAAGUUUAGACUAAAUUGGAGAGAAGAAUUUUACAGCUGCGUGUAUCCGGCUGGCUGCGACGGGCAGGGCGGGCUGUACCAGUGGGGAUCUCCCGUAGGGAUGCCACGCUGCGAGGGCAGGAUCCUGGGCGUUCCCUGGCGUUGCUGCCAUGGCGACCUUGCUGGAAGUUCUGUGGCGUCGCUGCCCUGGCGACCUCGGGAAGGAAGCGACGCUGCUCGCGGACGGUCUCCACGUUGGUCGGCAACAAUGGCGAUGACGUUGGCGAUGGUGCGACGGUGCGAUGUCGAAUUAAUUUUGUUUCCUUAUUUUACCAGGAGAUCAGCGUGGUGUGAUGACGAAUUAAUGUUGUUUCCUUAUUUACCUGGAGUACAGCGUGAUUGUAGGGGGUGGAUGGGGGGUGCUGGAGGUGGAGCACGGUCAGUCAAGGGUAUUUCCUAAGUCCACACCGUACAGGCAGCAAAUGAAUGAUGGCUGUUAGAUUUAGAUGUGCGGGUAUAAUUGUGUGGUGUUGAUUGUUCCGUGCGUUUUGUGGGACAAGUUGCCGGGUGUACUUAGCGAAGUUCUUGUUUGCUUGUUUAUUAGUAGUAGAGA
rnacentral:rRNA from 1 species